CUAUCACAGUUUGUAUUUUGAUAUUAACGUUUUCAUAAUAAUUUAUCUUUCUAUUCAUUACUUUCUUUUUUCUAUGUUUUUCAACUUAAACAUCUAAAGUCAAUAAAUCAAUGCUUGCAUUUCUGAUAGAUUCUAUAUUCAAUGAAACAGGCCCCUGUACUUUUCAAAGGGAUUGGCCAUUCAUUAAAUUCUGCCAAUAACUUGGUACGAAAAAUCGGGUAAUGAGCAGUUUGUGACUGAACUUAGCAAAUGGGUCUUCCAUGAAAGGGGUCAUCUGGAGGCUGUUAAUGUCAGACAUCACAAAGUUGGGGAAAUAGAUGAGCCCGCAAUUUAUAGGAUUAAUGAUGACCUGGAAUACUCUAUUGAGAUUUUUGAGUGGUCUGGAACAAAUUGGGAACCAUACGUGUCUAAUGAUGUUCAAGUGCAGUUCUACAUGAUGAGCCCUUAUGUGUUGAAAACCUUAUCAACCAAUCAGAAGGUAGUUACCAAGGCC